rnacentral:rRNA from 1 species
AUUGAACGCUGGCGGCAUGCCUUACACAUGCAAGUCGAACGGCAGCGCGGACUUCGGUCUGGCGGCGAGUGGCGAACGGGUGAGUAAUACAUCGGAACGUACCCUGUUGUGGGGGAUAACUAGUCGAAAGAUUAGUUAAUACCGCAUACGACCUGAGGGUGAAAGGGGGGGACCGCAAGGCCUCACGCAGCAGGAGCGGCCGAUGUCUGAUUAGCUAGUUGGUGGGGUAAAGGCCCACCAAGGCGACGAUCAGUAGCUGGUCUGAGAGGACGAUCAGCCACACUGGGACUGAGACACGGCCCAGACUCCUACGGGAGGCAGCAGUGGGGAAUUUUGGACAAUGGGGGCAACCCUGAUCCGGCAAUGCCGCGUGUGUGAAGAAGGCCUUCGGGUUGUAAAGCACUUUUGUCCGGAAAGAAAUCGCGCUGGUUAAUACCUGGCGUGGAUGACGGUACCGGAAGAAUAAGCACCGGCUAACUACGUGCCAGCCGCCGCAGUAA